rnacentral:rRNA from 1 species
UACGGAGGGUGCAAGCGUUGUCCGGAUUUACUGGGUGUAAAGGGCGUGUAGGCGGAGAGAUAUGUCGAGAGUGAAAUCGUGCGGCUUAACCGUAUCAAUUGCUUUCGAAACUGUCUCCCUUGAGUGAUAGAGGGGCAGAUGGAAUUCCUGGUGUAGCGGUGGAAUGCGUAGAUAUCAGGAAGAACACCGGUGGCGAAGGCGAUCUGCUGGCUAUAUACUGACGCUGAGGCGCGAAAGUGCGGGGAGCAAACAGG